rnacentral:rRNA from 1 species
UACGAAGGGGGCUAGCGUUGCUCGGAAUUACUGGGCGUAAAGCGCACGUAGGCGGCUUUUUAAGUCGGGGGUGAAAUCCUGGAGCUCAACUCCAGAACUGCCUUCGAUACUGGAAAGCUCGAGUCCGGGAGGGGUGAGUGGAACUGCGAGUGUAGAGGUGAAAUUCGUAGAUAUUCGCAAGAACACCAGUGGCGAAGGCGGCUCACUGGCCCGGUACUGACGCUGAGGUGCGAAAGCGUGGGGAGCAAACAGG